rnacentral:rRNA from 1 species
AAUGAACGCUGGCGGCAGGCCUAACACAUGCAAGUCGAACGCCCCGCAAGGGGAGUGGCGCACGGGUGAGUAACGCGUGGGAAUAUGCCCUUCGGUUCGGAAUAACACAGGGAAACUUGUGCUAAUACCGGAUACGAUCUACGGAUGAAAGAUUCAUCGCCGAAGGAGUAGCCCGCGUAGGAUUAGCUAGUUGGUGAGGUAAUGGCUCACCAAGGCGACGAUCCUUAGCUGGUCUGAGAGGAUGAUCAGCCACACUGGGACUGAGACACGGCCCAGACUCCUACGGGAGGCAGCAGUGGGGAAUAUUGGACAAUGGGCGAAAGCCUGAUCCGGCCAUGCCGCGUGAGUGAUGAAGGCCUUAGGGUUGUAAAGCUCUUUCGCCAGGGAAGAUAAUGACGGUACCUGGAAAAGAAGCCUCGGCUAACUCCGUGCCAGCCGCCGCGGUAA